GUAGGGUGCGAGCGUUAAUCGGAAUUACUGGGGCGUAAAGCGUGCGCAGGCGGUUAUGUAAGACAGAUGUGAAAUCCCCGGGGCUCAACCUGGGAACUGCAUUUGUGACUGCAUGGCUAGAGUACGGUAGAGGGGGAUGGAAUUCCGCGUGUAGCAGUGAAAUGCGUAGAUAUGCGGAGGAACACCGAUGGCGAAGGCAAUCCCCUGGACCUGUACUGACGCUCAUGCACGAAAGCGUGGGGAGCAAACAGGAUUAGAUACCCUGGUAGUCCACGCCCUAAACGAUGUCAACUGGUUGUUGGGAAUUAGUUUUCUCAGUAACGAAGCUAACGCGUGAAGUUGACCGCCUGGGGAGUACGGCCGCAAGGUUG
rnacentral:rRNA from 1 species